UACGUAGGGUCCGAGCGUUGUCCGGAAUUAUUGGGCGUAAAGGGCUCGUAGGCGGUUUGUCGCGUCGGGAGUGAAAACUCAGGGCUCAACCCUGAGCGUGCUUCCGAUACGGGCAGACUAGAGGUAUGCAGGGGAGAACGGAAUUCCUGGUGUAGCGGUGAAAUGCGCAGAUAUCAGGAGGAACACCGGUGGCGAAGGCGGUUCUCUGGGCAUUACCUGACGCUGAGGAGCGAAAGCGUGGGGAGCAAACAGG
rnacentral:rRNA from 1 species